GAUGAACGCUGGCGGCGUGCCUAAUACAUGCAAGUCGAGCGAACAGACGAGGAGCUUGCUCCUCUGACGUUAGCGGCGGACGGGUGAGUAACACGUGGAUAACCUACCUAUAAGACUGGGAUAACUUCGGGAAACCGGAGCUAAUACCGGAUAAUAUAUUGAACCGCAUGGUUCAAUAGUGAAAGACGGUUUUGCUGUCACUUAUAGAUGGAUCCGCGCCGCAUUAGCUAGUUGGUAAGGUAACGGCUUACCAAGGCAACGAUGCGUAGCCGACCUGAGAGGGUGAUCGGCCACACUGGAACGGAGACACGGUCCAGACUCCUACGGGAGGCAGCAGUAGGGAAUCUGCCGCAAUGGGCGAAAGCUUGACGGAGCAACGCCGCGUGAGUGAUGAAGGUCUUCGGAUCGGAAAACUCUGUUAUUAGGGAAGAACAAAUGUGUAAGUAACUAUGCACGUCUUGACGGUACCUAAUCAGAAAGCCACGGCUAACUACGUG
rnacentral:rRNA from 1 species